CUGAAUAACUCUGCCGAUCGCACGGUCUCGCACCGGCGACGUAUCUUUCAAGUGUCUGCCUUAUCAACUUUCGAUGGUAGUUUAUGUGCCUACCAUGGUUGUAACGGGUAACGGAGAAUAAGGGUUCGACUCCGGAGAGGGAGCCUGAGAAACGGCUACCACAUCCAAGGAAGGCAGCAGGCGCGCAAAUUACCCACUCUCGGCACGAGGAGGUAGUGACGAAAAAUAACGAGACGGAUCUCUUUGAGGCCCGUUAUCGGAAUGAGAACAAUUCAAAUCCUUUAACGAGGAUCUAGCGGAGGGCAAGUCUGGUGCCAGCAGCCGCGGUAAUUCCAGCUCCGCAGGUGUAUAUCUAUGCUGCUGCGGUUAAAAAG
rnacentral:rRNA from 1 species